CUGGCCGUAAACGAUGGAUACUAGGUGUAGAGGGUAUCGACCCCUUCUGUGCCGCAGCGAACGCAAUAAGUAUCCCGCCUGGGGAGUACGGUCGCAAGACUGAAACUCAAAGGAAUUGACGGGGGCCCGCACAAGCAGUGGAGCAUGUGGUUUAAUUCGACGCAACCCGAAGAACCUUACCAGGUCUUGACAUUUAUGGAACGAGGCAGAGAUGCCUUGGUGCCCUUUCGGGGGAACCAUAAAACAGGUGG
rnacentral:rRNA from 1 species